GCCUGGGUAGCUCAAUCGGUAGAGCGUGUGACUCUUAAUCUCAAGGUCGCGGGUUCUAGCCCCGCCUCGGGCU
rnacentral:tRNA from 1 species